rnacentral:lncRNA from 1 species
CUGGAACUCAGGAGGAAAAAACAGCUCCUUUGUCUGCCUGCUCCCACCUGCACCACUGCCUGCCUGUGCUCAUGAAGGGGCUCAAGUGUUCAGGCUGGGGUGCAGCCAGUGCUGGGACACGGUUUGUGCUGGUAGCACAGUUUCACCAGAGGCCGUGGGAUGUGGCCAGUGCCACCAGGGGUUCUGAUGUCAGCACAGACAGCAGGAGGCAGCAGGUCACCUUCGGUCAUGGCCUUAACUGCUGCCUGUUGGAAUUGAGGAAGUUUGGUUCUCACCUUCCAGAUAUCAAAGUGGAGCUGAAAGCACGGGAAGCUGGAAGCCUGAGGGAAACCCAUCAAUCUUGGCAAUGUCCCUGGAGGUCUUGUCUCCCCUCAUCCCUCCAGUGUUGCCGAAGAUCCCACCCCUUUAGGCUGGGGGUGCCAGAGUGGGUCCACGCUGUGGGGCACUGGGCUGCCCUGAAUGCUUCCUCAGGCUCUGGGUCAGACGCAGGACCCUGGGCGGCUGAAUCUGCUUUAUUGUGCUCAAUUAGUACAAGGUCCCCUGUGUCACUGUUCUACACCCAGGGUGGUGGGUGCCACUUUAUGCCCCCCCACAUCUCACCCUUUGUGCCCCCCUUCUCCUGCUGGGCCCCUGUGUCCCACCAGUGCCUGUCCUGCCCCUCCGUGCUCCCACUCCUGCCCGUAGCCCUUUUGGGACCCGAGUGUAACCCUGCUGUGCUGUCUUUUUGCAGUGCCAUGCUGGAGGGGGGGGUGGGGGGGGUGGGGGCACUGCCUGGCCCCGCAGGUUUACAUUCAUCGUAACAGUCGUUAAUAAAUAUUUUGGUGACUCUGCGAUGCCGGCAGCCGGCUGGGUCCCCAUCGGUGUUGGAGCCGGUGGCAAGGGCAGUCGGCAGCCCCUCGGGGGUACUGCUCAUCCCGGCUGCCCUCCUGCGGCCCCCGAGCUGCAGUCCCCCGCCACUGCCCACGCAGGGCUGCGGGCAGGGCUGCCGAGGCUGUGCCCUACCUGCGGC